GCCGUAGCUCAGGGGUAGGGCAUCUGCUUUGCAUGCAGAAGGUUCCAGGUCCAAUCCCUGGCAUCUCCA
rnacentral:tRNA from 1 species